rnacentral:lncRNA from 1 species
GGCGGUUCGUGUGUGGAUCUCGUCAGCAUAUCGUCGCAAACAGGUGUGUAACUAACACCCUCUUUCUUAGUCUGGAUCGACAAAAGUCGAAAAGCCAAAAUACCGAAAACCGGUAUUUUGUAGAUUUGCGAGUGUGCGAAUGCUCGUGAGGUAAAUUGAUUAAUGUUUUUGGUAAGCUGCAAAAUUUGGACUGCAAAGUGCAUGAUUUUUGUGCCCUCGAUAUUUUUGGGCUUAAUGGGCCAAAAUUGGAAUGAUGGGCCAACGGGCCCAAUUCGGUAAGAACCCUCGGUACGUGAUUCUGUUAGUACGUGAAAAGUAGGAAUAUGCAUGAAAAACCCUAAAAUAGAUAAAUUACUGAAAUACCUUUAAAAGUGGAAAAUUUACAAUUUUAUCCCUAGUAGAUAAACUACUGAAAUACCCCUAGGGUUAAAUUGACCUAAAUGCAUGUUUGACUAUUGUUAUUUACUGCAUGCCAUGUUGUUAUUAUCUGAUGCAUGGGAUUGGGAUAUUGACGGAGGAAGUACUGAAAGUGGCUUGUCCACGUACUGGAGGCUUUGCCUCAAUUUACUGUUAACUGAGCAUCAAGGCUGCAACUGUGGAGUGUUGGGCUGGGUGGGUUGAGCUAUUCCCCACAUGGAGUGUAUGGCUGGUACGGGUGGAGUGUAGUGGUUGGUGGGUUGAGUAGUCUCCCCAAAUGGGCUUGCAUAUGUUUACUGAUGUUGCAUGUAUUUUGAAAUGGGCCUAUGGGCCAUACUGUUAUCUGAAUAAGGGGCUAAGGCCCAGUUUAUUGUAAUCUGAAAAGGGCUCUGGCCCAGUACCACUGUUACCUGAAUGGGCUUAGGCCCAAUAGGCUUGAGCUGACUUGGGCUUUGAAUGGGUUUUCCUUACACACUGAGUUUCCCCAAACUCACCCCUUUUAUUUUCAUCCACGCAGGAAAUCCCCAACCAUAGUGGGCUUGGAGCUGUGAGGGAAUUCGGAGUGGCCACCCAUUCUGAAAGUUUGAUUUUCUUCUGGUGAACUGGACAUCCUUUUAAUUACGUUUGAGGUUUUGGGCUUUUAAAUGUAAUAAGGCCGCUUAUUUAUUUUUGAUGGUUUUUA